AAGAAUGCCGUGAUAGUUGCUCAUGUCUUAAGAAUUGAUGAUAUAGUAUUACUCCUUGCCACCACUAUUCAUUCUUGGUCUCGUUAUGUUUCAAACCGGAAUACCAACAAGUGAACUUUGAUGUGUGAUUCCAAUACUUCUGGCAACCCUAUUGCCUUGAGGUUAACAACUGAUUGUUUCAUUCUUAGUGUGUUGGGUGUUGACUCAGCAUUUUUGACAUUGGUUGUGCUACCCCGUCCGUAUUUCCGAGUGCACCC
rnacentral:lncRNA from 1 species